rnacentral:miRNA from 1 species
CAAUGCAAUGCCAAGUCUUUCGA